CAGAAAUGGAUCCAGCUGCUGUUUACUCUGCAGUGAGAACAGACGACAUUAAUUAUGGACAGAUUAUCAUCAAAAACAAGAAACUAAAGUCAAAACCAAGAGAAAUGGAUCCAGCUGCUGUUUACUCUGCAGUGAGAACAGACGACAUUAAUUAUGGACAGAUUGUCAUCA